UACGUAGGGUGCGAGCGUUGUCCGGAAUUAUUGGGCGUAAAGAGCUCGUAGGCGGCUUGUCGCGUCGGAUGUGAAAGCCCGGGGCCUAACCCCGGGUCUGCAUUCGAUACGGGCAGGCUAGAGUUCGGUAGGGGAGAUCGGAAUUCCUGGUGUAGCGGUGAAAUGCGCAGAUAUCAGGAGGAACACCGGUGGCGAAGGCGGAUCUCUGGGCCGAUACUGACGCUGAGGAGCGAAAGCGUGGGGAGCGAACAGG
rnacentral:rRNA from 1 species